UACGUAGGGUGCGAGCGUUAAUCGGAAUUACUGGGCGUAAAGCGUGCGCAGGCGGUUUGUUAAGACAGAUGUGAAAUCCCCGGGCUCAACCUGGGAACUGCAUUUGUGACUGCAUAGCUAGAGUACGGUAGAGGGGGAUGGAAUUCCGCGUGUAGCAGUGAAAUGCGUAGAUAUGCGGAGGAACACCGAUGGCGAAGGCAAUCCCCUGGACCUGUACUGACGCUCAUGCACGAAAGCGUGGGGAGCAAACAGG
rnacentral:rRNA from 1 species